AGUGAACGCUGGCGGUAGGCCUAACACAUGCAAGUCGAACGGCAGCACAGUAAGAGCUUGCUCUUACGGGUGGCGAGUGGCGGACGGGUGAGGAAUACAUCGGAAUCUACUUUUUCGUGGGGGCUAACGUAGGGAAACUUACGCUAAUACCGCAUACGACCUACGGGUGAAAGCAGGGGAUCUUCGGACCUUGCGCGAUUGAAUGAGCCGAUGUCGGAUUAGCUAGUUGGCGGGGUAAAGGCCCACCAAGGCGACGAUCCGUAGCUGGUCUGAGAGGAUGAUCAGCCACACUGGAAGUGAGACACGGUCCAGACUCCUACGGGAGGCAGCAGUGGGGAAUCUUGGACAAGGGGCGCAAGCCUGAUCCAGCCAUACCGCGUGGGUGAAGAAGGCCUUCGGGUUGUAAAGCCCUGUUGUUGGGAAAGAAAAGCAGCAGGUUAAUACCCCGCGGUUCUGACGGUACCCAAAGAAUAAGCACCGGCUAACUUCGUG
rnacentral:rRNA from 1 species